AACGCGCAUACGCUGCUGCGAUGAAGGUCAUGGGCAUUUCCUGAUGGAAAAGAUUUGAAACACUCUGAGACUUUAGCUUUUGACAAGGGGACCCCAGAGAACGCUAAGCCAGUGUUUCUCUGACAGCUCUAAGAAGCCCUGGUCUUCUGGGAAACCCUGGAGGGAGCAAGGCAAAAGGAAGGCUCUGAACUUCACACCUGAUUUUCCACCAGAACAUUUCUGCCCUUUUCUAUGUGACAAGCCAUUGAAUAGAAAGUUCUACAGCCAAACAUUUGAUUUAGGAAGAGCAGGACUCUGACGCAGUACAGUUAAUCUGUGCAUAGGAAAGAAGAGCUGUUUAAAGAGGUUAUUCGGUAAACGCAGAGAAUGUCUUUGUAGUAUAAAUUAUUGCUCUAUAUAAAACUGCUUGUAAGUUUU
rnacentral:sRNA from 1 species